GAAGAAACAAUGAGCGGAUGAAUAUAUUUAUAUUCUAAGCCAUUAGGUAGAGGGUAUGACAAAAUAGAAAAGUCAAGAGUGACUGUCAGGAAUUUUUCCAAGGUUUGACCUAACCUCUGAACUUCUUUGUUUUCUCAUCUGAAAGAUAUGAAUGAAUACUCUCUUCACCGGAGAACUGAUUUGAGAACUGAGUGAAUCUACUAUGAGGAUCACAGUGUAAAUAUCUCUCCUUCACCCUGCACUCUGCUCUGUGAUGUUCUGCCUCGACACAGGUCCUUCGUCACAGUAACACACAGAUGCAUGACUGAAUUUUGGGAUACUAAACUGGCUCUUGCCAUCACUCCAGGCCCCGCUCUAAUACUAAAGCACUUUGCAGCUGGAUCUGUGCAUGUUAAGUGUUUUCUCACUUAAAAGGAGAAGAGAAGUGAAACCCCAG